UACGUAGGGAGCUAGCGUUAUUCGGAAUUACUGGGCGUAAAGCGCACGUAGGCGGCUUUGUAAGUAAGAGGUGAAAGCCCAGAGCUCAACUCUGGAAUUGCCUUUUAGACUGCAUCGCUUGAAUCAUGGAGAGGUCAGUGGAAUUCCGAGUGUAGAGGUGAAAUUCGUAGAUAUUCGGAAGAACACCAGUGGCGAAGGCGGCUGACUGGACAUGUAUUGACGCUGAGGUGCGAAAGCGUGGGGAGCAAACAGG
rnacentral:rRNA from 1 species